UACGUAGGGGGCUAGCGUUGUCCGGAAUCAUUGGGCGUAAAGCGCGUGUAGGCGGUCCGGUAAGUCCGCUGUGAAAGUCGGGGGCUCAACCCUCGGAUGCCGGUGGAUACUGUCGGGCUUGAGUACGGAAGAGGCGAGUGGAAUUCCUGGUGUAGCGGUGAAAUGCGCAGAUAUCAGGAGGAACACCAAUUGCGAAGGCAGCAUGCUGGGACGUUACUGACGCUGAGAACGCGAAAGCGUGGGGAGCAAACAGG
rnacentral:rRNA from 1 species